rnacentral:lncRNA from 11 species
ACACAGCCCAAAAGACAUACAACAACCCUGGGACCUUUCGGUCUGCAGGUUCAGCAGCUCAGCGCUUUAACACACUGCGCCACCGGAGGCUCCAUCAAAAUUUAAAUCACUCUAUAUGUUCAAGUAUACAAAUACAUGCACAAAGUACUUGCCUUUUUUUCUUGAUCAGUUUGUCUUAAUUUACUUAACUUUUUCCUAUAUUUUAGAACAAGUCCAAGUAAUAAUCCUUGGGUUAAAUUGGGAACAGCAAUGCUUAUGAAAAACCAACAGGAGCAUAAGGAGAAUAAAGGAAACGAGAUUUUGAAAAUCUGCCGCUCUUUAUAUGGGACAAAGCACAUGCUGUCUGCAGAGUGCAUAAAAGACCUGUGUUUGCUGCUGCUCAAGCAGUCCCUGAAGUUGCCAUCCCUGAAGCUGCUUGUGGAAAGCAGAGAUCAAGAUCUUCAUUUCAUGGCACUAGAGCAGAUAACAGCUCUUUCAAAGGUUGAUGACUCCAACUGUGACUCUGAACUCCUUUCCUUGCUUCUGGAUGAGAAAUUGACAGUGAAGUGUAUAUCCACCGUUUAUUAUCCACACCUGGUUAACCAUUUGCUGGUCAAGCAAGAGGAGGGACGUUGGAACAUUGAAGAAAUAGCCAAACAGUUGCAAGAAUCUGGCUUCACGGCAGAGGCGGGUUCACUCCUGAUGGCUUGUAAAGGCACCCAUCCUGCACUCCAAACCUUUAGUGCUGCUGUCCAUGCUGUUAAGCACUGGAUUUAAAUGGCAGAUGAUUUGAAGUUAUCCUGGAAGCCUGAACUAUAUUAUCCAUAUGCAUCAGCCUAAUCACAGUCGCUUAAUGCUGCCUAAUAUCCCAACAAUAAGCAAACUAAAAUAUUUUCUUGUAUUACCUCCCCAUCAUAUUUGUAGCUCUUGCCAGAAGGAAACAUUCAGUGUAACCCAUGAAUGAUGUUCUGAUAAAAAAAUAUUUUGCAGAUCGUGUCAUAAUGAAUGAACAAUUAUGAUAUUCUAUACCUUCAGCUCCAAUGCAGAAAGAAGAGGUUCUGAAGGCCUAUAAUAUCACUUCAAAUGGAAAUGUCUAAGAGUGCAUUUAAAGAUGUGUAAUAGUUUCAAAGUCAGAUUAUUUGGAAGUUACUUUGUCAGUUUAAUUACUAUGCUUCAAUUAAUUAAAGUCUUUCCAUGAAACCAACUGAAGUUUUUGCUUUUUGGCUGCUCCUCAGCUCCCAUGAUUGCUCUGUACUUGUGCUUACAAAGCAUAUAAUUGAACUAUUCUAGCUUUCUUUGGAGAAAAAUAUAUUCCUUGAUUUUCUGUGGGAGUUAUAACGGGUCUAUUUUUGUUGAUAGGUGGAAAGGAAAACACCCCUUCUACCUAUCUAUUCAUAUUAUCCGCAUACAAAACCCAGUACUGAUACUGUUAAGCUUUUAAGGUGAAACUAGUUGAAUGCUGAGAGAAAGUGAGGCCAUGGAAUUUGUACUGUUGUGUAGCCAC